GUGAAAUUUGUUUGUACUGUAACAGACUGAUUUUUAAAUCACAGACUCAUGUGGAAUGGUUGAUGCAGAGGGCACACCUGGAGAUCAGGUUGCUCAGGGCUGGGGCCAGUUGGGUUUUGGAUGUCCCUGAGGAUGGAGACCCCAAUAGUUUACCUGUUGACCUGUCCCUGGGCACCAGUGAGACGAGUGUGGCUGUAUCUCCUCCAUUCCCUGCCAUCAGGUACAUCACAGGCACUGUGACAGCAUGAGGCAGCAGAAGAUUCAAGUUGUAUCAAGAGAAUCAGCCUGGGAACCAGCUGGAUGGCAUGUUAUUUUCUUAGAAAUGGAGUUGGCCGAAGAUUCAAUAAAGACCUGGUGGAAUGCUUUAAUCAGGAGCUGAGAAUAAGGGAAAGAUGCCUCUUGUAACAGCAGCAAAUCUGGCCCAGAGCCUUUCUCAAGAGGAGCCUUGUUUUUGGCUUCAUCCUCCUCCACAUCAUGUGUCAGCUCUGGCACCAGCUCAGCGUGACAAGCAACUUCUAAAAUACAUAGCCAAGCUCACAGAUCCUCCCCUUGCAUGUGCUGGGAUAAACUUUAGAGAAAAUCUUUCCAGUGCCUCCCCUAGCAGAUGUUCCUCUUCACACCCUGUGCAUGCAGGACCCUCCUGAAGAUCAGCCUGGGGAAGCUCAGAAGUACAGAUUAAUGAUGUUCAAACUUUCCUCUGACCUUCUUAAAGGCACAUUUGAAAUUAUAUGUUUCUCAUUCCAGCUUUGGGUAGUGCUAUAUUUUCACAAGUACAAUAUUGAGAAAUAUAUUCUUUAAGUGUAAAAAAGAAUCUGUGGUUGCAGCACAGAGAAGAGUCAAGGCAAAACCUGG
rnacentral:lncRNA from 1 species